rfam:Bombyx mori DNA, contig: Bm_scaf32_contig19665, strain: p50T/Dazao, build 2, whole genome shotgun sequence.
UUAACUCAAAUUUGUAUGGAGUUGGAACGUUUGCCUACGUUUGCCGCUAGGGCCGUUGUUCCAACUGCAUACAAAUUUGAGUCA